CCGGUUGAUCCUGCCAGAGGUUACUGCUAUCGGUGUUCGCCUAAGCCAUGCGAGUCAUAUGUAGCAAUACAUGGCGUACUGCUCAGUAACACGUGGAUAACCUGCCCUUGGGACCGGCAUAACCCCGGGAAACUGGGGAUAAUUCCGGAUAACGCAUAUUUGCUGGAAUGCUUUAUGCGUCAAAAGGAUUCGUCUGCCCAAGGAUGGGUCUGCGGCCUAUCAGGUAGUAGUGGGUGUAAUGUACCUACUAGCCAGCGACGGGUACGGGUUGUGAGAGCAAGAGCCCGGAGAUGGAUUCUGAGACAUGAAUCCAGGCCCUACGGGGCGCAGCAGGCGCGAAAACUUUACAAUGCGGGAAACCGUGAUAAGGGGACACCGAGUGCCAGCAUCAUAUGCUGGCUGUCCGGAUGUGUAAAAUACAUCCGUUAGCAAGGGCCGGGCAAGACCGGUGCCAGCAGCCGCGGUAAUAC
rnacentral:rRNA from 1 species